UACAGAGGUGGCAAGCGUUGUUCGGAAUUACUGGGCGUAAAGGGCGCGUAGGCGGCCAUCUAAGUCAGACGUGAAAUCCCCCGGCUUAACCUGGGAACUGCGUCUGAUACUGGACGGCUUGAGUAUGGGAGAGGGAUGUAGAAUUCCAGGUGUAGCGGUGAAAUGCGUAGAUAUCUGGAGGAACACCGGUGGCGAAGGCGGCGUCCUGGACCAACACUGACACUGAGGAGCGAAAGCCAGGGGAGCAAACGGG
rnacentral:rRNA from 1 species